GAUGAAGAACGUAGCGGAAUGCGAUAAGUAAUGUGAAUUGCAGAAUUCAGUGAAUCAUCGAAUCUUUGAACGCACAUUGCGCCCGCCAGUAUUCUGGCGGGCAUGCCUGUUCGAGCGUCAUUUCAACCAUCAAGCCCCCGGCUUGUGUUGGGGACCUGCGGCUGCCGCAGGCCCUGAAAAGCAGUGGCGGGCUCGCUGUCACACCGAGCGUAGUAGCAUACAUCUCGCUCUGGGCGUGCUGCGGGUUCCGGCCGUUAAACCACCUUCAUAACCCAAGGUUGACCUCGGAUCAGGUAGGAAGACCCGCUGAACUUAAGCAUAUCAAUAAGCGGAGGA
rnacentral:misc_RNA from 1 species